rnacentral:lncRNA from 1 species
AGUAGAGGGCAGAGAAAAGCCCUGGGCUCAGCCAGAGAAGGGCAGAGGACAGAGGACUGAGAGAGGACUGGACAACCAGCUGCAAAGAGGAGCUACCUUCUCUGUGAGAGCUUCAGAGACCUGCAGAGACAUUGAAUGAACUGCCUGCAGAGAGGAGUCACCCUCUCCAAGGUCUUCGCUCUGCUAAGAACAGCAGACAAUGGGGCAACCAGUGGGCAGAGAGGAGCUACCCUCUUCAGAGCCUCCUCUCUGCUGAGAGCUGGACACUUGAUUGGAUGAUCUGCCUACAGAGAGGAGCAACCCACUGUGGAUUUUCUCUGAGCUGUAACACUCAAUAAAGCUCUUCUUUGUCUUGUUCACCUUCCACUUGUCUGCAUAGGCAGGAUUUGGCACCACUGGCAGUGACACUGUAACAUUUUGGGGGCUCAUCUGGGAUCUCCAAAAGGGUGAAGAAAGAGAGGAUUAAUGAGAAAAACAAAUUAGACGGCAUAGCCUAGAUGCAGAAAGUCUAACUCCAAAAUUCAUGAACCUUCCAAAAUUUACCAUGUUGUCCCUCUUCACUUGGAACUCUAGUGACACACAAAGAUGUAUGUUUUUUCAUUUGUACUUCCUCUGCUAAGAUCUCUAAGUGAGGGGAAAGGACUAAGCCGUUGUCUAUUAUUUGUUUCCGUGUUCUUUCAAAGCUCUAGAAAAUACGUGAGCAUAAUUCAAGUAAAAAUGUUGGAAGCUUAAAA